CCUGUAGCUCAGUGGAUAGAGCACUGGUCUUCGGAACCAGGUGUCGGGGGUUCGAAUCCCUCCAGGC
rnacentral:tRNA from 1 species